ensembl:snRNA
GUACCGUAUCAAAAGAGAGGUUAAUGCUCCCCUUGACAAGGAUGAAAGAGGCCUCAGGCCUGCACAACAUGUAUUUGGUUAAGGCACUGCUACCUACUCUGUGGCAUCUAACCAUCAUUUUUC